rnacentral:rRNA from 1 species
CGAUGAACCGGCUUCGGCCGGGGAUUAGUGGCGAACGGGUGAGUAACACGUGGGCAAUCUGCCCUGCACUCUGGGACAAGCCCUGGAAACGGGGUCUAAUACCGGAUACGACACUCUCGGGCAUCCGAUGAGUGUGGAAAGCUCCGGCGGUGCAGGAUGAGCCCGCGGCCUAUCAGCUUGUUGGUGAGGUAACGGCUCACCAAGGCGACAACGGGUAGCCGGCCUGAGAGGGCGACCGGCCACACUGGGACUGAAACACGGCCCAAACUCCUACGGGAGGCAGCAGUGGGGAAUAUUGCACAAUGGGCGCAAGCCUGAUGCAGCGACGCCGCGUGAGGGAUGACGGCCUUCGGGUUGUAAACCUCUUUCAGCAGGGAAAAAGCGAAAGUGACGGUACCUGCAAAAAAAGCGCCGGCUAACUACGUGCCAGCAGCCGCGGUAAUACGUAGGGCGCGAGCGUUGUCCGGAAUUAUUGGGCGUAAAGAGCUCGUAGGCGGCUUGUCGCGUCGGUUGUGAAAGCCCGGGGCUUAACCCCGGGUCUGCAGUCGAUACGGGCAGGCUAGAGUUCGGUAGGGGAGAUCGGAAUUCCUGGUGUAGCGGUGAAAUGCGCAGAUAUCAGGAGGAACACCGGUGGCGAAGGCGGAUCUCUGGGCCGAUACUGACGCUGAGGAGCGAAAGCGUGGGGAGCGAACAGGAUUAGAUACCCUGGUAGUCCACGCCGUAAACGGUGGGCACUAGGUGUGGGCAACAUUCCACGUUGUCCGUGCCGCAGCUAACGCAUUAAGUGCCCCGCCUGGGGAGUAC